UACGAAGGGGGGCUAGCGUUGCUCGGAAUCACUGGGCGUAAAGCGCACGUAGGCGGCUUUUUAAGUCAGAGGUGAAAUCCUGGAGCUCAACUCCAGAACUGCCUUUGAUACUGGAGAGCUUGAGUCCGGGAGAGGUGAGUGGAACUGCGAGUGUAGAGGUGAAAUUCGUAGAUAUUCGCAAGAACACCAGUGGCGAAGGCGGCUCACUGGCCCGGUACUGACGCUGAGGUGCGAAAGCGGUGGGGAGCAAACAGG
rnacentral:rRNA from 1 species